AAAAACAAAAUAAUAAAAAAAUAAAAAAACUGACCUAUGUUCCCUUUUUUUUUUCUUAGUUCCCAAAUCUGAACUCCCUGUCUCUGAAUCUAUCUCUCGCUCGAUUCUCUCCUUUAAGUCUCCAUUCUCUCUCGCUCGAAUCUCACUGUCUCUUUCACUCGACUCUCACUUUGAUGAAGAUUUGAAGAUUUUGAUAGACUGUUGAUGAAGAUUUGAAGAUUUCAAUCUGCUGUUGAUGAAGAUUUCGAUCGAUUCAUAAUCAAGAUUCAUAACCACUCAUUAGAGAUGGCAUUAAGGGAAGCAUCGUGAACUCAAGAGGUUGUUUUUACCGGUAAAUCAAUUAAUCUUCAAUUUGUCUGCCUAUAUGUGUUUUUUUGUUCAAUUUUCACGAUCUGAUCUUGCUAUUGUUUUUCGUUUUCGCUAUAAUCAUCUCUCUCUCUCUCUCUCUCUCUCUCGUUUCAUGAUUUGAGCAAGGAUUUUGAACAGAGAUUCAGUUUCAGUGAUUUUGAAUGAUUCCAUUGAUGAAUUUUAAUGUCCUUUUGCGUGCUCAGAUUCAAAUCGUCUAUGUUUUGCUAAACUCUUUCCGCUUAUGCAUGUAGUUUGUUUAUUGGGGAUGUAGAGUAGCUUAAUUAUGAUAAUUUUAUGAACCUUGAGGCAGAGCUCACCAAUCGUGAUGGUGGAUAAAUGCAUAUGGUUGUACUAGGUCAGUGAAUUUUGAUUAGAGACUGGAAUUUUGAUUUAUUUGAUUCAAGCAUUCCUUAGAUUUAUUUGUCAAUGAAUAUACAAGAGAUAUAGGGAAAACAUGACACUGAUUGUAUCUGGUCAUGAUUCUUGUUUUCGGACAUUACGUGAUGUAGAUAAUGUAAAGAUGGAAGGUGAUAACGACAUUGAGGAUGAUAAUAAUCAUGUACAAACAACCCGUGGUGGCAGUGAGGUUGAUGGAAUGCACGAUUCUGUUUCUUCCCCUGCUGCAGAGGCUCACUGUCAGAUGAUUCAUGUCAUCUUGAAACUUCUAUAUCAAGGAUUAAUUAUGAGACUUGGGAUAUUGUGAUAUCUUCUAAUUUAAGACCUUCAGAUUGUAUCAGGAAGGGAUCAGCUGGUGUUGUGGGUAUGAUGCUUCUAAAAUUACACCAGAACUUGCAUGCUCCAUUUACGUAGGUUGUUUUAGCUUCAGUAGACUAAGAUUAUUUUCCAGUUACUUUUUUUUAAUCCCUAUAAUUUCAAUAGAAGCAAUGUUGACUUGUUCUCUAUGCUUAAUAUAGGAUGCACCACUUAUGACAGAAGACAUGCAUGAGGAACGACUCAAUGCUGUAGAAGCCUUGGGUUCUUUAUUUUGUGUAAACUCUUCAUCAUAUUUAUUAUGACUGUGGUGAAGAUGGCCAUUGUGGGCAUGUUAUUGAUACGCAUAUACAUUGAUUUAUUAUAUGAAUUUGCUGACGUAGACUGGGACGGCCUUGGAUUUGCACUUACGCCUACUGAUUAUAUGUAUAUCAUGAAAUGUUCAUAAGGGCAAAGCUUUACUAAAGGUGAAUUACAACGUUUUGGGAACAUUGAAUUGAUGGGCAGGAUGAUAUUAACAGAUUAAAAGGACAAGGAUACUACUAACUUCCUUGUAUCACUGGGAUAAAAGCCUCGCACAUAUUUACAUGGAGAAAUUCUUCACUGUGGAUAUGACGCUAACUUCGGCUUCAAUAAUUAAAGUAUCAUUCACAAGGAAGCCCUUAGAAGCAUCAUGGAGGUCAGUUAAUGACAAGAAUGAAGAUGUACCCCAGGAGAUGGAGCUUGAAGUAAAACAAUUGGAACCUGCGAGAGAAUUGGACAAUUGUUAUUUAACUACCCAAAAGAUCUACAUAAAUGAAAAGCUCUUCAUAAUUUGCAAAUGCGACAAGCAGUGUCCCAUGGAUAUGAUUUCUUCGGACUGUAUUCAUACUUAUUUUACACUUUUAUGUUCAUUUGUUGGAUUUUUAGAGGAAACGAAGGGUAAAUAUAUGUUCAUGUUGACAUUGUGGCACCUAAGAUAUGAACAAAAAAUAGAAGAAAACAUAAUAUCACCUUCAAUUUCCA